GAUGAAGAACGUAGCGAAAUGCGAUACUUGGUGUGAAUUGCAGAAUCCCGUGAACCAUCGAGUCUUUGAACGCAAGUUGCGCCCGAAGCCACUAGGCCGAGGGCACGCCUGCCUGGGCGUCACACGCCGUUGCCCCCCCAUCUACUCCUUCGGGAUUGCGGGGGGGCGGAUGAUGGCCUCCCGUGCGCCUAGCCGCGCGGUUGGCAUAAAUACCAAGUCCUCGGCGACGCACGCCACGACAAUCGGUGGCUGCGAAACCUCGGUUGCCCGUCGUGUGCGUUCGUCGCGCAUCGAGGGCUCGAAAAAAUGCUCGGCUCCGGCUGGGCUUUCAACGCGACCCCAGGUCAGGCGGGGUUACCCGCUGAAUUUAAGCAUAUCAAUAAGCGGAGGA
rnacentral:misc_RNA from 1 species